UAUACGACCGUACCGCAAACCGACACUGGUGCGCGAGAUGAGUAUUCUAAGGCGCUUGAGAGAACUCAGGAGAAGGAACUCGGCAAAUUGACACCGUAACUUCGGAAGAAGGUGUGCCCUAUUAGUGUGUAGUGAACAACGAAGCAUGAAUGGGUUGCAAAAAAUCGGUGGCUGCGACUGUUUAUUAAAAACACAGCACUCUGCAAACACGAAAGUGGACGUAUAGGGUGUGACGCCUGCCCGGUGCUGGAAGAUUAAAUGAUGGGGUGCAAGCUCUUGAUUGAAGUCCCAGUAAACGGCGGCCGUAACAAUAACGGUCCUAAGGUAGCGAAAUUCCUUGUCGGGUAAGUUCCGACCUGCACGAAUGGCGUAACGAUGGCCACACUGUCUCCUCCUGAGACUCAGCGAAGUUGAAAUGUUUGUGAUGAUGCAAUCUCCCCGCGGAAAGACGGAAAGACCCCAUGAACCUUUACUGUAGCUUUGUAUUGGACUUUGAACAGAUCUGUGUAGGAUAGGUGGGAGGCUUUGAAGCAGGGUCGCUAGAUCUUGUGGAGCCAACGUUGAAAUACCACCCUGGUGUGUUUGAGGUUCUAACCUAGGUCCAUUAUCUGGAUCGGGGACAGUGCAUGGUAGGCAGUUUGACUGGGGCGGUCUCCUCCCAAAGCGUAACGGAGGAGUUCGAAGGUACGCUAGUUACGGUCGGACAUCGUGACGAUAGUGCAAUGGCAUAAGCGUGCUUAACUGCGAGACUGACAAGUCGAGCAGAUGCGAAAGCAGGACAUAGUGAUCCGGUGGUUCUGUAUGGAAGGGCCAUCGCUCAACGGAUAAAAGGUACUCUGGGGAUAACAGGCUGAUACCGCCCAAGAGUUCAUAUCGACGGCGGUGUUUGGCACCUCGAUGUCGGCUCAUCUCAUCCUGGGGCUGUAGCCGGUCCCAAGGGUAUGGCUGUUCGCCAUUUAAAGAGGUACGUGAGCUGGGUUUAAAACGUCGUGAGACAGUUUGGUCCCUAUCUUCCGUGGGCGCUGCAGAUUUGAGGAAGCCUGCUCCUAGUACGAGAGGACCGGAGUGGACACACCUCUGGUGUAUCGGUUGUCACGCCAGUGGCAUUGCCGAGUAGCUAAGUGUGGAAGAGAUAACCGCUGAAAGCAUCUAAGCGGGAAACUCGUUUCAAGAUGAGAUCUGCCGGGGCCUUGAGCCCCCUAAAGAGUCGUUCAAGACCAGGACGUUGAUAGGUCAGGUGUGGAAGCG
rnacentral:rRNA from 1 species